GAAAAAAGAAGAAAAAAGGAAGGACUUGACUGCUCCUAAGCAAGGAGGAGAUCUAUUGUAGAUGUGAGGGGAAGCAUGGCCAAAGGCAUCUGGAAGAAUCCGUGGUGAAUGUGACCGCAACCCUGAGCAGGACACGUGAGGAGAGGGGGUGGGGAGAGAAGAAAGUCUGGAGAUUUAAAGGUAAAUAAUGGAGUCAGGUAACCAAAAUGUCUGGAUUAUAUAGAAAAGAGCAACUGGAGGAAGAACAGGCCAGCCUCUGGGCUGGAGAAUUUCGGGUUGUGAGCCUGGUAUGCCAGCCAUACCCUGUAACAGGAAGGGACUGAGGAAUGCUGGGAGAACCUGGUGGCCAUGUCAUAUUUGGUAUAUUAAAUAGGCACCAACUGUCUUUUGUCCCUAGGUUUGAGAUCUAACAACGUUCUAUUCUGGAAAAGGAGUGAAAAUUUUAGAUCCAUAUAAUAAUCUUUCUAUAAUGUUGACCUCAGAGUUUUCUGACCCACAACCAAGGAGGAACAUCAAAGGUCGCUUUUAAGUUAAAGAUUAGUUGAACAAACUAGUUUGGUGUGUGUGACAAUGAGAGGAAGGACAGGGCUGAUCCCAGAACUCGUGAAGAGAAUGCCAAGUUCUAGAACAAAAAAUAAAUAAGUUUAUUUCAGGCAAGCUGGGAAUACAUAGUAAGACCCUAUCUCAAAGAAUCAAAUUAACUAGGCUUUUAAUGCCAGACUCUCAAGUCAAAAGCAGAUAGAUCUCUGUUAGUUUGAGGCCAGUCUGGUCUACAUAACAAGUACCAGGUCAUCAGAGCUAUACAGUAAGAGUCUGUCUUAAUAAUAAUAAUUAUUAUUAUUAUUAUUAUUAUUAAAAUUAAAAAGAGGAUUGGGGAUGGUAAAAGACUGACCUAGCAUAUGCAAGACCAUGUUCAAUCCUCAGGACCAGGACUAAAGAGAUGGGUCAGUAUGUAAAAUGUUUGUUGCUCAAUCUUGAGGAUCUCAGUUUGGAUCCCCACACCCACUUAAAAAGAGUGGCCCAGUAAGUAUUUACAUUCCAGAUCAGGGACUUUGGCGACAGGAGGACACCUGGGGCUUGCCAGCCAGCCAGCUGAAUACCUGAGCUCCAAGCUCAGUGAAAGACCAUCUCAGGAAACAAGCUGCAGAGUCCCUGAGGAACUUAGCUGACAUUGAUAAGUGGCCUCUACACACACAUAUAUGGACACACAGAGACACAUGCAUGUGCACACGCACACAUAGGAGCACACACGAGUGUGCUUCUACACACACACACACACACAUACACACACACCUCACAUGAGGAAAACAACCAAACAACUUUUGCCUCCUGUGGUCAAAAACCAAAUUUCCUCAGAAACAUAACAAAAUGCCUGCAGCCAGGAGCCACUAAGCCUUGCCACCUGCUAGUUGCUCACAAACCAUCUCUAGAUGAAAGCACUGGAAACAUCCCUGGUGUUUCAAAGUCACUAUAGCUGCUUUCUACGGAGCACUUCCUGAACCACAACACUCAGUAUCCCCUGCUGGGGAUGCGGUUGCAGAGACUAGGCAAGGUUCGGAGGGUGAGUACAUUGCUCCUCACAGUACAUGGCCUCAAGCGGUUGCUACCCUCUAACUGUGGUUUUGGCUCCUGGUGCCCCCUUUCCACACCCACUCCUUGGAAACACAGGGCAGGGGAGUGAGUCACUAGGUGUAGGAGGCCCGCCUUCUACACCCCACUACCAAAGUCAGAAAGGCGUGUGUGUGUGUGUGUGUGUGUGUGUGUGUGUGUGUUCACAUCUCUCCUUUUCCUCUGUUGUGUCAGGACAAAUCACUAUAACAACCCCUUGCAUACAUUUCCUGUGGGUGUUUCUCCCUUUUAAACCCUAACAGAUAAACAAAAGAUCAGUACCAAGAAGUUGACGUACUGGGGUGCCUCUUCCUCAUCCUGUCCCCACUUCGUUUCCUCCCUUCUUUCGUGUACACAUUCUACCAGAUGUAGCUGAAGUUGGCCUCAAACUCAUGAUCCACCUGCUUCCAGCUCCUCAGCGGAAGGACAGGAACUCCAGGUAUGCAGCGCCACGGUCUUCCUGGAGUUCUUCCAGCUGUGCUGCUGAGAGGUAAAUGUGGCAUCCCAAAAGUGUUGAUUCCGUGCCUUUCCUGAAGCAUGGAAGCCUUCUGGGUGGGUGCGCGCGCUGGUGUAUGUUUGUGUGAGACAGGUUUCCCGCUGCCCAGGCUGACUAUGUAAAUGAGGAUGACCUCCUGCUUCUUCCUCUCCAAUGCAGGGAUUAUAAAACUGUACCAAUACCCUCCGCUAACUCUGUUGCUUGUGUUUGUUUUCAUUUUGUUCUGGAGAUAGAAUUUCUCCAUGUAGUUCUGCUAACCCUGCAACUAGCUCUGUAGAACAGGCGGGCCUCAGACUCAGAAAUCCACCUGCUUUUGCCUCCCAAGUGCUUUGAUUAAAGGCAUACGCCACCACACCUGGCAUGGCUUCAAUUAUGCUAACUUUUUAAAAGCGUAUUCAAGUGUGUACUUUCUAGAGUGAUGUGUCAUUGUCUUGUGACCGAGUUGUAUGUCUAUGUUCUGGAGGGCCAGCUAAAGCUAAAGAGAGAGAGACGGACUGGGAGUUAAGAGAACUUGCUGUGUUACAGAGGACCUGAGCGCAGUUCCCAACAUCCUAUGUAGUGGCUCACGACCAUCUGUAAUUCUCGUUCCAGAGGACCCAAGAACAUUUUCUGGCCUCUGUGGUUACCAGGCACACAUACAUGGUGCACAAAUACACAUGCAGGCAAAACACUCAUAUGCAUAAAAUAAAAUAAAAAUCUUUUUUUAAGCCAUAGAAGGCCGUAACUAAACAUGUUAACAGUGGUUUUGGCGCUACUCAUUCUGUUUUGAAUUUUUGGACAAAUGACAUGUUAUUACAAUGCUUUCUCCUUCACUCAGGUGCCUCAUUUGCAGGUCAUUUGUACAUCCUGCAGGAUUAAAUUGCCUCUCUUGACUCUUAUAGGUCUCUAGUGGCCCUCACCAAACAGUCGGUUCCCUGACUACCAGCAGAAUCUGCAGAGCAACGUAUUCGUCAGAGGUCUUAUUCUCCUCUGAAGAACUUGGUAAAAUCUUACCAAAGGCCACGAGCUGUGAACUUUUGCUAUCCUUAUGGGUGUGAACUCCUCAGGGGAGCAUAGGAAGCCCUCAGUUACUGAAGUCCUGAGUGACCGUAUCCUAGACGUGGACACAGCGACGACAAAGACCAAGGCAUGGAACCAUGGCAAAGUGGAACAGCCUUCUUUGGAUCUGGUGCGUGCUAAUCUGUAGGACAGAAACUGCGCACUCGUGUUCAGCCUACAUUUCCGGAUCCGAUCCUGGCGGUCUGUGCAAGCGCCGAAAGAGCGACAACCCUGGCCGAAUGACUCAUCCUGCUUUCCCGGGUCCAAGCGGGGAAAAGGAGACAACUCGGAUGCGCAUGCGCGCUCCGAAGUUUGUGGCAUUCCCGCACCGCAAAUCUUGUUUUUGUAAAAGUCACCAAAGGGAGGUGCUGGGGACGGAACCCAGGGCCUCACGGAGCUAGGCGAGCACUCCUGCCAGCCACUUUCACUGGCUGGGCUGCAUUUUGAUCUACACAUUCUGGUGCGUAGUUCUGCGAGGACAGCAUGCCAUACCACGCUAAUGCCAUCACUACCCCCGCCACGACCUCCUGUGAGCACCCGGCUGUCACUAGACUUUUCCUCCCCGGGGCCACAUACGUCCCCGGACACUGGCGCUCGGUUGCUACUGCGCACGCGCGGCGUCCCGAAUCCUCUCCGCCGAGGGUACAGCUCGCCCUCUGGCGCGCAGCGCGAGAACGCCGGAUGUUGCUCUUGCGCACGCGCAGUGCAGGUCAGGCCUGAGCGCGGGAGCGCGAUUUGGCGCCAAGGAGAGGGCGCGCCCGGCGGACUGCGCAAUCAGCGGCUUAAAUUGCGUGCGCUCGUCUCCAGGGUUUGCAGGAAGCCCCGCGGGGGACCCACGGGCCUCGCCACGCCACUUGUCGCCGCCGUGUGAACUUCGCCCCCUUAAGGCGCUUGUACUUUUCGGGUUUGUGGUGUCUCCAGGCUUUUGAAUCAUACUUUAUAAUGGAGGACGCCAUACCCGGUGUGAGCUAGCCCGACAGAAUUGGAUAUCGGAAGUUCGUAGAGCGGCGCCCGGAAGUGGUUCUUCAAGUUUACUAGUGUGGUAAACCCGAUUUUAGUCCCCAGAAGUGUGAGAGGAGGUGUAUAGGUGUGUAGCUGACCCAGCUGUGAAGCCAUUAGGGUUGCGUGCAGAGCCCGCCAUCUUUCACACUGUGCCCCUAUUCCAACGCUAAGGUGUUGAUGCAGACUUACUCUUGCUUCAGAGAUGGUAUGAGGGACAUUAUUCUGGAGCCGCAUAUGAGUGACUAUGGCCCGGGAUAAGAGAUUCAGGUCACCCCAAAUUCCAUGUUUAAUCUAGUGACAACUGGAUGAAGUGUUAAAAAUAACAGAACAACGUCAUAAAUCAAGAAAGACAUUUGACAUGCUUUGAAUCGAAAGAAUUUACUUGUGAGCCAUGUCUCCCCCCUCCCCACGCACGCGCGCGCAUCUAGCACCACAAUAACCUUGAGCUUCAUAGUCAUAGUAGCCCAUCUUUACCUGUGUCUUGGGCCCUAGCCUCUUCAGUGCAUGCUGGAAGUCUGAGUUUGAGCCUCACUUUCAUGUGACAAGUACCAACCGGCUGUUGAACCGGCUUCUGUGCACACUAAAAUAUUCUUUGUGGCCAGAUGGUGGUGGCAUUCGCCUUUAAUCCCAGCACUCAAGAGGCAGAGGCAGGCGGAUCUCUGUUAGGUCGAGGCUAGUUUCCGGACACAAGAUCCAAAGCUACAGAGAAACCCUGUCUCGAAAAACAAACAAACAAAAAAUAAAAACAAAAUUAACUUGUGAUUGUUUAGCUCUUGUGGUGCCAUUUAAAUGAAAAUACCGUUUGAAGAACCAGCCUGCCUCCAUCUGGGGCUCAAAUGCCAUCUUAUAAACUAAGUUCAUUUCUUUUCAUGAUUAAACUUGUUUUUCUAUUUGACUAUGCCCCACCUAUAACCUUUAAUUACAAAUGGUUCUGUAGUGCCUGUUACAGAAAUGGCAGUCGUGUUUUUGUUUCAAAAAUGUUUAUAACCAUCUUGCAACCCUACCUUGUUUCAAAUGGGUUAUAUGACCACUGUGUCUACCUUGUUAUGCACACCUUGCAAACAUGUCUGUUUCAAGAGAGAAAAACUUGUUAUGCUUAUAUUCUGCUCCAGUCAUCUCCUGUUUUUCCUGGCAAAUCCCCCAUUCGGAAAGCCCCUAUCUGUGAGCUGACCUCUCAAUUGGUGCCAUAGAGGGAGGCAGCCGUGUACACAAAUAAAAAACCUUGCUCUAA